rnacentral:lncRNA from 1 species
CACUUCUAAACAGUGUUAAACAUAAUUGUGAAAGUGGGAUUCAUGACGAUGUAGGUAUGGUGUUUGAUAUAAUAUACGAUACCCUUUAAUUGUUAUUUUUUUCUAAGCUGAUUUCAAUUAAUUAACUCAUUUAUCUGUUGGUGCUUUUGGAGCAAAAUCCAUUGGUUCUGCUAACAAAAAAGCUGCAAAAGAGACAUAAUUAGUAUCAUUUACAUAGCUAGCAUCAACUUUCUAUAAGAGUAUUUUCUUUCUGUCUACUUAGGAAGAUGAAAGACUGUUUGAGAGGCAGCACUUGAUUUAUGGGAUAGCAAUUUCAUCCAAAGGUAGAUUUCAAUGGGAUUCACCAAAUGAGACUUGCGUAGUCUUUUGCUGAUAUAAUGCAAGCCUGAUGUUUGCGUAGCAUUUCUGCCUUCUGCAUAAUUAAUUUGCAGUCAUAUAUGUUUGAAUAAUGCAUGCUAAGAUUCAUGAUAUGACAAUGAGAUAUGAUAAUUUUUUGGCCUAUCCCAUGGUAUUAGGCUGAGGAAUUCAGUUAGACGUUCGGCCCUUUGGUUUCAGUUGGACAUAAUUUGAAGAUUUUUAGUUAGAUUCCUCACGUCAUGUUUUACUAUGAUAGCUACCUAUAGCAAUCCCAGAUCACAUUCACUAUGCCCACUUGUAUCGAUGAUCGUAUUCAAUAUAAUGUAGCUUCAGGCCAUCAGAUGUCGCUUUUGUCUCAGUAUUACCCUGAUGACUACGUGAGCUUUGUUCAUUACUCAUUUGUGAAUGCAUUUAUGCACCAUAUUGUUCUGUAGAUUCAAGCUGCAUUUGUCCAAUUAAAUGAAUGGAUUAAAUGGAAUUGCCAUUUUCCAUUCUAAUACAUGAAAAUAAUACAAUUUUCUGGUGUUAAAUUGCAAAUUUGUAGUAAAAAAUUCUAGUUGAUGCUCGAUGAUGUGCAGGACUCUCUGCUUUAUACUUAAAACAAAUAUCCAGUUUAUGGUUGCUUUUUUAUUGAGGAAAAGAUUAACUUGAAAUUGGUUCCUUGGAUGGAUGAGGAAUCUAUAGCUAAGAAUUUAUAUCGCUAGAGAUGUUGUCAACAGAGCAAAGUACUCUGGCAUUAAGAAUAUCAGCUCUGGCAAUAUAGUUAGACUUGUCCUUUCUGUUUUUGUAACAGAAUUGACUGUUACAAAAGUCAAGGUUGUCAACUGAAAAUUGGUGCCAUAGGUCUGACCCUUUAUAUGUUCAUUUGGUCUCAUAUCUUGAAAUCUGUUUUUCCCUGUUAUAAAUGUUUGUCUUCGUCUGUUUCUCAAGAUACUAAUAAAAUGCUUUAUAAUUGAAAUUAGAGGUAUCUACCUGUGUCACUGAAUUAUAUCAUUCGAAGUGAAACGAUUAAUUAGCUAUAUUGGGUUUGUAAACAUUGAAAACUCUUAAUAGUGGGAUCUAUAGAAAGAUGGAAAAGAAUUAAUAUUUUAUGAAUCAUUUUUCAUUUUGAAGUUACAGAGCUGUACUGUGUUUCGUAGCUGGGGGGGAAUAAAACUUUGUGCCUCUGUAAGCAGCAUGAGAUCAAACAAUGCAUUUGGUAGAGUUCAACUUGAGUGAUGGAAAAUGGCUGAUGGUGAUUACUUUCUGGUCCAAAAGACUCGGCAGGGUUUAUUUUACUGGUGAGCAGACAAAAACAUGAGCAGCCUAGAUAGAUAAUUUCACAAGAUGGUCUAGGCAUCAAUCAUGUUACCAGACUUCAUUGUAAGUAUCAACGUAAUGUGUGGAGCGUGUUCUUCACCUUUUGGACAGCUUAUUAGUGAAAUCCUUGGAAGAACUCUAUCUCCCAAUCUUAGAUAAACAAAACAAGGUCCAAAAGAGGGAAAACAUAAAGAAAAUACACAUGUUACUAAAAUCAGUUUCACAUAGUUCAGCUAGGUUUUAAUGUCACUAUCAUAUUACUAUUCAUGCUGUAGGACUUUAUAUUUAGUCAAACCUUGUUUCACAUUACUGUAGAGUGUAGACUGGUGUUAAUGUUAAAUAUCAUCUAAUCUACGACUAAAAUUAUUUUUGGAUGUAGACUGAUUUCAUAGCAGCUUGGCAUUUGUAUUGUACAACAUAGUGGGCUCUAUAUAGAUGUCCGGUAAUUCUUAAUAGACAAUUGCAUGUUCUACUGAUGCAAACCUUUUCUUUUCAUGCCUCUAUGAAAUUAUGUCGGUUGUUUUAUUGUGAUUUGAUGCCUUUGAUGACUCGGCAAAUAGGAUUUUUGGAGAGUAUCUGUUUGUCAUGUCAGCCUUGUUGCACUAAUCUUUUGAUUAAACAAAACAUUGGGUGGUUGGUAGUUGCUACUUUUUCAAUCAAUAUCUGUAGUCACUGUAUUGUGCUUGUCUGCUGGAUUAGAUACCUCAAUUGCAUAUCCUGUGGAUUUUGAUUUUUAUCUAGCGAUAUAUUUUGAAUAAUUGUAAAAUUAAAAUUCUGGUGGACUGUGCAAACACCCGUUUACUUCCACUAAAUUCUCAUGAACCAAGAUUUCAAGAAAUUCUAGGGUAUGCUGAAUCUCGUUUCUGAGUUUGGAACUGAUAUUUGAUUUUACUUUUAUGGUGUACAACCCCUUCUGAGAAGUAGUUAGAAGUAAUUCUUCCCAACAAAACAUGCAAGUGAAUUAACUUAGUAGUACACUAGUGGUCUAAAAGUAUUUGGUCUUAGACUGUUUUAGGACUAAGCAAGCAUGGAACCUAAUACUAAUGAACAUGGAAACGUGUAGGUGUGUGUAUCUAGCUUUUACCUUGUUUGAGGGUAUUUGUGAAGGUGAACAAAGUGAUUGGUGAUCACUGGCAACAACUGACUGCAUUAACAGGACGGACAACAAUAAUUCCCAUUUGAUGUAAAAAAACAUGUUUUGUUUCGUGCAUAGUCCAUUCCUAUAUUGCAACCAGAGCAAACUUGUUGAUGAAGAAUGAUGCUUUCCUGGCAGGAUGCAAACAUGGCAAAGAACUGAGAUUUUAUGCGGAAGAACAUAGGUAGGUGAAGAGCUUCCACAAGUGACAAGUUGGCGCCCAACAGUAUCAGAAAAAUUCUGUUCAACUUGCACCAAUUAAGAAAAGAAGACGUAACAAAUAGACUUGAUAUUUCCAGCUUGUUCAACAGAUGGCAGCUCAUAUAAUUACUUCGGUAUUUCUUGAUAUCUACUUCAAUUUUCUUCUGAUAAUUAUUGAUGCAAUAUGAUGUUGUUCUUGUAUGUUAUAAGCUAUUUGAACAUGAAAUUUUCCACCCUUAUAAAUUU